CGCAUUAUGGGUGACACAUCUUCCGUUUUCAUGUUUACUUUGUGGAAGCGCUGCCAUGCGGUUAGCACGGGAUUUCUUCUCCUGCACGUACAGUAAGUAUUAGCACGGGAUUUCUUCUCCUGCACGUACAGUAACGAUUCAGGGCCUGGGGUUUGAAGGAGGAAGUCCCCAGAUGGAGGCGCUGUGUGAGUAUGAGUUUUGUUUUGUUUUUAUUUGUACUAUGCACCACAUUUGGUGUAGAUUAAUGUAUUACUACUGACAGUCUCCCAUACCGCUACUUUUAUGCAAUCAAAUUAAAAAAAAAAUUAAAAUAAAAUAAUAUUAAAAUAGUAUGGGCGACUGUCUGUAGUAAUGCCCUAAUGGAGGGUGGGACCUCAAAAAAAAAAAAUGUAAAAAAAUAAAUUAAAAAAAUAAUUAAUAAUUAACAAGGUCACGUCGCAGAGACACUUGGGGUGUUCAUGUCCAGGCUUGCAGGUAGCCUAAAUGAUGAGACAAUAUUAGCUGAAUGGUCUGUUCUCAUCAUGUAUUUUCUUACUUUGACAAUGUUAGGACAUGUUAUUUAUUUAUUUGUUUAUUGCUUAUUUUUAUUAAAAAACCGAGUGGGACAGUCCACCCUUCCUUAGUAUUUCUUCAGCUUUUUUCAAACGGGGUAGCGGAUACAGAGAGUACCACGGCGGGGCUUAAACUCCCACCUGCGUGAGCUUUCAACCGGCACCUACCCCUAGCACCCCACCUACGGGUGCACUGACUCAGAGCGUGUGCCGUUGGUGCUGGGAGCGCCCCGUGGGCAGAUGGUCUGGGCCCCAUAGGCAGAUGGUCUGGACCCCUUGUAUCCUCUGAGUCCCUGAACAGGUUUCUGCUGAGAUCCUCCAUGACGACUGAGAGGAUCCUCUAUGGCCCAGCAGCCGAUGCACCAGCAUCCGUUGGAGGAUUAGAAGCGAGAAGUGAUCACACUGCCCAUCCCACAGAGGAGGAUACCUGCUGUCCAUGCGCAGCACCCCCCAGAGAACCCCAGAAUGUUUUUCACUUUUGUUUUUCAUUUGGUUUUGUUUGAUUGAGGAAAUCAAUAAAUAUGACUGCCUGGUAUUUUA